GCCAGGGUUGAUUCGGCUGAUCUGGCUGGCUAGGCAGGUGUCCCCUUCCUCCCUCACCGCUCCAUGUGCGUCCCUCCCGAAGCUGCGUGCUCCGUCGAAGAGGACGACCUUCCCUGAAUAGAGGAGGACCGGUCUUGGUCAAGGGUAUACGAGUAACUGCGCUCCCCUGCUAGAACCUCCAAACAAGCUCUCAAGGUCCAUAAAUGUGUUUUUGUGCAUGUCUGUGGUGUGUAUGUGCUUUUAUUUUGGGGUCAGAGCUCAGAGAUGGCGUUGGGGCAUCUGUAGCU
rfam:Mesocricetus auratus contig122606, whole genome shotgun sequence.